rnacentral:misc_RNA from 1 species
CCACACCUAAAAACUUUCCACGUGAACCGUAUCAACCCUUUUAGUUGGGGGUCUUGUACCCUAUCAUGGCGAAUGUUUGGACUUCGGUCCGGGCGGAGUAGCUUUUUGUUUUAAACCCAUUUCACAAUUCUGAUUAUACUGUGGGGACGAAAGUCUCUGCUUUUAACUAGA